UAAAGCAAAAUUUUUGACUGUAAAAUAGCCGACUAUGUUACUGAAGAAGGUAGUGCCAGUACUAGUGUCUUUUGUGCGUGAUUUUAGUUUUGCGACUUAUUUUGCAUUAUACAUAAAACAUGAGAUAUGUAUCACAUACAAAAAUUGAAAGUGAAAAAUUAGCCCAACAUUGUGAAGAAUAUAGGAUACUUUUGUUUAAGAAAUAAAAUAUAGUUCUUUGGUUAUUUCUCGGAACCAAUAAAUAUUUUGAGUAAAUCUUAACAUACUUAAACGUUUUAAAUUCUUGAGUAAGCUUGGAACAAUCGAUGCAAAAAGGGAUUACAAUAUAUGAAAAUAAAUAUGAAGAUCUUGCCAUGUUCAAUACACUGAAUAUUGAAGUAAAUGAUAUAUUGCUAGAAUUAUUCAUAAAUUAUUUUUGUUCAAACAUAUAAGUAAUUUUAGUUGUACAACAGUAGGCUCUAAUGUUUAGACUAUUGAAUAAUAUUUUUAAUUGAAUAUUUUGUUGGUAUAAUUUCUUCCACUAGAAAACAUUUUGAAAUUUUUAAAAAGAUACAGAAAUAUAUGUAUUAAAUAUGGAUGAUAAGCACCAAAUAAAUUUUGUUGUAAAAGAAUGUAUAACAGAUAUAGAUAUUAAACAAGAACAGCCAAACACAUAUGUCUCUAGUAAAGAUAACAAAACAUUUGUACAAUCAAAUGAAACAUUAGAUAAGAAAGAUUUGUUGAUAGCAAGAGCAAAUUGCUAAACAGAAAGAAUGUAUAUCGUAUUAUGAAAGUAUAGUACAGCUUAUAAAUUGUAAACUCAUGAAAUUGAAGAAACUUCGGAAAACUCGUUAAUUGUUGAAAGAACUUGAUUUGUAACUUUGGUAAACAGAAUAUAGUUGUUCCUUGAAAUAUUAAAUAUAAAUAAGUAAAAUUUAUAUUAAAAAUA